UACGUAGGGUGCGAGCGUUGUCCGGAAUUAUUGGGCGUAAAGAGCUCGUAGGCGGUGUGUCGCGUCGGUCGUGAAAACUUGGGGCUUAACCCUGAGCUUGCGGUCGAUACGGGCAUCACUGGAGUUCGGCAGGGGAGACUGGAAUUCCUGGUGUAGCGGUGAAAUGCGCAGAUAUCAGGAGGAACACCGGUGGCGAAGGCGGGUCUCUGGGCUGUCUCUGACGCUGAUGCGCGAAAGCUGGGGGAGCAAACAGG
rnacentral:rRNA from 1 species